rnacentral:rRNA from 11 species
UCUAUAUGAAGAUAUUUAUAGUCUGGCCUGCUCCCUGACUAUAAAGUUAAAGAGCCGCGGUAAUUUGACCGUGCAAAGGUAGCAUAAUCAUUAGUUUCUUAAUUGGGAACUUGUAUGAAAGGUCUGACAAAGAAAAAGCUGUCUUUAUUAUGAGAGUUGAAUUUAACUUUUAAGUGAAAAGGCUUAAAUAAUUUAGAGGGACGAUAAGACCCUAUAAAGCUUUAUAUAAAAAAUAAUUAAAAUUAAAUUUAUAAUAAAGAUUUAAAUUAAUUAUUAUAUUUUAUUGGGGUGAUAAUGAUAAAAAUAAUAUUAACUGUUGAACAAAUAUACAUAAAUAAAAGAGUUAAGUUAGUUAAUGAUCCUUAUUUAAAGAUUAAAAGAUUAAGUUACUUUAGGGAUAACAGCGUAAUUUUUCUUGAGAGUUCAUAUCGAAAGAAAAGAUUUCGACCUCGAUGUUGAAUUAAGAUAUCUAUGUAAAGCAGU